rnacentral:rRNA from 1 species
CACGUAGGGGCCAAGCGUUGUCCGGAUUCAUUGGGCGUAAAGAGCUCGUAGGCGGUUCAGUUAGUCGGGUGUGAAAUCUUCGGGCUCAACCCGGAGGGGCCACCCGAUACUGCUGUGACUUGAGUCCGGUAGGGGAGUGGGGAAUUCCUGGUGUAGCGGUGAAAUGCGCAGAUAUCAGGAGGAACACCGGUGGCGAAGGCGCCACUCUGGGCCGGUACUGACGCUGAGGAGCGAAAGCGUGGGUAGCAAACAGG